rnacentral:tRNA from 1 species
GCGGAUGUGGCGGAAUGGCAGACGCAUCAGACUCAAAAUCUGACGGUGGUGACAUCGUAUGGGUUCAAGUCCCAUUAUCCGCA